rnacentral:rRNA from 1 species
GAUGAACGCUGGCGGCGUGCCUAAUACAUGCAAGUCGAGCGAACAGACGAGGAGCUUGCUCCUCUGACGUUAGCGGCGGACGGGUGAGUAACGCGUGGAUAACCUACCUAUAAGACUGGGAUAACUUCGGGAAACCGGAGCUAAUACCGGAUAACAUGUUGAACCGCAUGGUUCAACAGUGAAAGACGGUCUUGCUGUCGCUUAUAGAUGGAUCCGCGCCGCAUUAGCUAGUUGGUAAGGUAACGGCUUACCAAGGCAACGAUGCGUAGCCGACCUGAGAGGGUGAUCGGCCACACUGGAACUGAGACACGGUCCAGACUCCUACGGGAGGCAGCAGUAGGGAAUCUUCCGCAAUGGGCGAAAGCCUGACGGAGCAACGCCGCGUGAGUGAAGAAGGUCUUCGGAUCGUAAAACUCUGUUAUUAGGGAAGAACAAAUGUGUAAGUAACUAUGCACGUCUUGACGGUACCUAAUCAGAAAGCCACGGCUAACUACGUG